GCCCCGGUGGUGGAAUUGGUAGACACGCAGGACUUAAAAUCCUGUGACCCGCAACGGUCGUAACGGUUCAACUCCGUUCCGGGGCACAA
rnacentral:tRNA from 1 species